rnacentral:rRNA from 2 species
CAAGACAACUUUACGGAGUUGACGAUUGACGGAGCGAAGCGACGUCAAAGCGUUCAUUAAAGUCGAGUUGGCUUAGGGAUACGUUCGUUGGGUAGGGGAGCGUUCUGUAAGCCUGUGAAGGUGUGUCGUGAGGCAUGCUGGAGGUAUCAGAAGUGCGAAUGCUGACAUAAGUAACGAUAAAGCGGGUGAAAAGCCCGCUCGCCGGAAGACCAAGGGUUCCUGUCCAACGUUAAUCGGGGCAGGGUGAGUCGACCCCUAAGGCGAGGCCGAAAGGCGUAGUCGAUGGGAAACGGGUUAAUAUUCCCGUACUUGGUGUUACUGCGAAGGGGGGACGGAGAAGGCUAUGUUGGCCGGGCGACGGUUGUCCCGGUUUAAGCGUGUAGGUGUGUGUUCCAGGUAAAUCCGGUUCACUUUAACACUGAGGCGUGACGACGAGGCACUACGGUGCUGAAGCAACAAAUGCCCUGCUUCCAGGAAAAGCCUCUAAGCAUCAGGUAACACGAAAUCGUACCCCAAACCGACACAGGUGGUCAGGUAGAGAAUACCAAGGCGCUUGAGAGAACUCGGGUGAAGGAACUAGGCAAAAUGGUGCCGUAACUUCGGGAGAAGGCACGCUGACACGUAGGUGAAGUGAUUUACUCAUGGAGCUGAAGUCAGUCGAAGAUACCAGCUGGCUGCAACUGUUUAUUAAAAACACAGCACUGUGCAAACACGAAAGUGGACGUAUACGGUGUGACGCCUGCCCGGUGCCGGAAGGUUAAUUGAUGGGGUCAGCGCAAGCGAAGCUCCUGAUCGAAGCCCCGGUAAACGGCGGCCGUAACUAUAACGGUCCUAAGGUAGCGAAAUUCCUUGUCGGGUAAGUUCCGACCUGCACGAAUGGCGUAAUGAUGGCCAGGCUGUCUCCACCCGAGACUCAGUGAAAUUGAACUCGCUGUGAAGAUGCAGUGUACCCGCGGCAAGACGGAAAGACCCCGUGAACCUUUACUAUAGCUUGACACUGAACAUUGAGCCUUGAUGUGUAGGAUAGGUGGGAGGCUUUGAAGUGUGGACGCCAGUCUGCAUGGAGCCGACCUUGAAAUACCACCCUUUAAUGUUUGAUGUUCUAACGUGGACCCGUAAUCCGGGUUGCGGACAGUGUCUGGUGGGUAGUUUGACUGGGGCGGUCUCCUCCUAAAGAGUAACGGAGGAGCACGAAGGUUGGCUAAUCCUGGUCGGACAUCAGGAGGUUAGUGCAAUGGCAUAAGCCAGCUUGACUGCGAGCGUGACGGCGCGAGCAGGUGCGAAAGCAGGUCAUAGUGAUCCGGUGGUUCUGAAUGGAAGGGCCAUCGCUCAACGGAUAAAAGGUACUCCGGGGAUAACAGGCUGAUACCGCCCAAGAGUUCAUAUCGACGGCGGUGUUUGGCACCUCGAUGUCGGCUCAUCACAUCCUGGGGCUGAAGUAGGUCCCAAGGGUAUGGCUGUUCGCCAUUUAAAGUGGUACGCGAGCUGGGUUUAGAACGUCGUGAGACAGUUCGGUCCCUAUCUGCCGUGGGCGCUGGAGAACUGAGGGGGGCUGCUCCUAGUACGAGAGGACCGGAGUGGACGCAUCACUGGUGUUCGGGUUGUCAUGCCAAUGGCACUGCCCGGUAGCUAAAUGCGGAAGAGAUAAGUGCUGAAAGCAUCUAAGCACGAAACUUGCCCCGAGAUGAGUUCUCCCUGAGACUUAGAGUCUCCUGAAGGAACGUUGAAGACGACGACGUUGAUAGGCCGGGUGUGUAAGCGCAGCGAUGCGUUGAGCUAACCGGUACUAAUGAACCGUGAGGCUUAACCUUACAACGCCGAAG